rnacentral:tRNA from 1 species
GGCUCGGUAGCUCAGUCGGUAGAGCAGGAGAGGACUGAAAAUCCUCGUGUCGGCGGUUCGAUCCGUCCCGAGCCACCA